rnacentral:rRNA from 1 species
GGCAGCAGAGGGAAAGCACAAGGGCGAAAGCCGAGCAGCAACGCCGCGGCGCGAGAAGGCCCGGGCGAAUGCGCCGGGGGGAGAGAAAGGACCGACCCCCGGAAAAGCCGGCAACAC